GACGAACGCUGGCGGCGUGCUUAACACAUGCAAGUCGAACGGUGAAAGGGAGCUUGCUCCCUGGAUCAGUGGCGAACGGGUGAGUAACACGUGGGCAACCUGCCCUAGACUUCGGGAUAACGCUUCGAAAGAGGUGCUAAUACCGGAUACGAACUCCUUGGGCAUCCUUGGAGUUGGAAAGUUUUUCGGUCUGGGAUGGGCCCGCGGCCUAUCAGCUUGUUGGUGAGGUAACGGCUCACCAAGGCGACGACGGGCAGCCGGCCUGAGAGGGCAACCGGCCACACUGUGACUGAGACACGGCCCAGACUCCUACGGGAGGCAGCAGUGGGGAAUAUGGCGCAAUGGGCGAAAGCCUGACGCAGCAACGCCGCGUGAGGGAUGACGGCCUUCGGGUUGUAAACCUCUUUCAGCAGGGAAGAAGCGAAAGUGACGGUACCUGCAGAAGAAGCACCGGCUAACUACGUGCCAGCCGCCGCAGUAA
rnacentral:rRNA from 1 species